rnacentral:piRNA from 1 species
GACACAGGUCUCUAGUAGCUUCUGGUGUU